UUAGUUUAUCUUUCGCGAUGGCAUUAAGAAACCAGGGGGGGGGGGGGGGAACCAAUGGCGUAAUGCCAGAUCAUUUUCUUUUUAGCGCUAUAUAAACGGGUUGCGGUCCUUCCACACUACACUAUUAAACUGAUUGGAAAGCAACUGACGUGUUGACAAUGGGCAACGGCAAAAAUAGAUUGGCGGCGGUAGCGCUAUGUUCGGUGGAUGCGAUGGCAGAGCGGCAUGUCCAUGGAACCAGCAGCGUUCUUACUAACUUCCUGUUACUUUACGUCGGAUGGAGUUAGGGAGCCAGACUGGGCUACACAAGGGUUAUCCCUAGCAACCGAUGACAACAACUAUCCUCCAUAGCACCGAGUAAUGCUAACUUUGUCAUGCCAUAGUCUUGUUAAUUAUCAUGAUUACAACCACAAUUAAAUGGAUUGUAUGCAGUCCUUUUAAUAGAACAAUAUUCACGUGUUUUUAGUUCCUUAUGUAUAUUAAUUUAUAUUAAAAAUACAAACUGAUUUGCUUUUAAUUUAAUGAACGUGUAUGAAAUAUAAAGGUAUUAUUUACACAUGUUUUUUUUCCAGUAUCAAAUUAUUGUUGUUGUCAUCAUUUCGUCAAUAAAUAUGCAUACAUGCAAACAGCU